AUGUCUCUGACCUUGUGCACAUGGACUUGGAUAUGUGUGUGUGCGUGCAGGUGUGCGUAUGUCCGAAACACACGUGGACAUCGUUCAAAGACGGACCGACGCAGAGGGUGUGCUGUUGCGUUCGGACACACGAGGAGACACAAACUCUCUCUUCUCACCAUCCUCCCUUUUUUAGGUCUCGUUUAUCGAACAUCUGGCCUCAGAAAGGUCCAUCUUCUAUCUUUCACAUCGAGCAGUUCUUUGUGCACUUGCUUUCACCAUAAACGCUGGGACCAGGAAGAUGGAGGGUUGGCAGAUGGAGGGAUAUGAGAGCUCUGGGACUCUGAGAGAGAGUGAAAGGGAGAGAGAGAAUACACCGCCCAGAAGUAUCAUGCCCAUUCAAACUGAGGGGACAAAUGCAAAGUGGAUUAUAAAUGCAAUGCAAUUCAUGCAGUAUAUAUAACUGAUAAUUUAGUUGCCCAGUUAUUGUAGGUAAAGUGUGUUUAUUUAGUACACUGUGGCAAAAAUAUAAUUGCAGAUUUGCAUUUGCAGAAUUUGUGCUUGGUUUAUUUAAAAAACAAUUAUAUGCUAUAUAGGGAUUUUAACUCUAGUUUCCUUGCUUACUAAGUGAAAAGGGCACCACUAGACAAACAUGUUUAAUACAUGUAUGAUGCAUUUCUCAAUUCCUAAAGACUCCAUUGAUUUAAAGUGAGAGUUUUUGUUUCUAUUUUUAUUUUUCAAAUUCGUCAGAGAAGCUACAAAGAGGCCUACAGCAACUCUGAAGCAGUUGCAGGAAUUUAUGACAAAGAGUGGUUAUUUAUGUGCACAUGUGACGACAAUAUCACAAAUUCUCUAGAAAUGUGGCUUGAAUGGGAAGGUUGCAAGAAAAAGCCACUCCUCAAGAAAGGCCACAUGCACUCAGACUGAGCUUUGCCAAAACACACCUUGAAGAUUCUGAGGCAGACUAAAACUGAAUUAUUUGGCCUCAACACCAAACAAUACGUCUGGCAGAAAUCCAAUACAGUUCCUCAUCCAAAUAAUACCAUUG
ensembl:lncRNA